rnacentral:scRNA from 1 species
UCCCAGCUGCCUCUCUUCCACCAGGCUCCAGUAAUGCUACGAGAGGCAAAAGGCGGUGCCACAUACCUGUGUCCCUCAGGAGCCCAGGGAGGAUGCUGUGCUUGCUGUCCAACAGCUUAAUCACAAAGGA